UACAGAGGUCUCAAGCGUUGUUCGGAUUCAUUGGGCGUAAAGGGUGCGUAGGCGGCGCGGUAAGUCGGGUGUUAAAUCUUGGAGCUUAACUCCGAAACUGCAUUCGAUACUGCCGUGCUUGAGGACUGGAGAGGAGACUGGAAUUUACGGUGUAGCGGUGAAAUGCGUAGAUAUCGUAAGGAAGACCAGUGGCGAAGGCGGGUCUCUGGACAGUUCCUGACGCUGAGGCACGAAGGCCAGGGGAGCAAACGGG
rnacentral:rRNA from 1 species